UGCUUCAGGGGCGGUAUACACAAACGUUCUUAGCAUCGCUAAGUGCACUUAACGGCAAAGAAUCGUUAAGUUUUCUACUUAAAAUGGCGCUGGGCCGCUUAGCGCUGAAGCUGGAGCACUUAGCGGGCGGAAAAUUUAAGGCGGGGAAGGGGCUCCCUUAGCACCGUUAAAAAUGCAUAAGUAUUGCAACAUGGUGGAUUACAGCGGGAUGAAAGGCAUCACCUCCUAAUAUAUCUGCCUCGUCUAGACGAAUUGGAGGCGUGUAAUGAUUUGAAACUCAUCCUGAAAUAUCUGUGGACUGUGCUGACCGUGCUGAGAUGAGUGGUUCGGCGAGGCGGACCUUGGAAACACCUACAUGGCCAUCACGACUGAAGUGGUGUUCGCCGACAGGCAAAAUGCAGGUGCAACCUUCACAGACUGACAGAGAUUGAGUGAUAACAGACACUGGAGACCCUCCAAGCGAUGGCUGGUGAGCGCCUGCCACCAUCCACAGGCUGUCACACAAGGAGCCCUGGGAGUAACCUUGCUGGAAGCCCCGCGGGCCGCAGUGUGUGGCUGGCGUUAUACAGCCCCCAGCCAUCGCCUGGAGGGCAUCCAGUGUCUGUUAUCACUCACCUUAGGUAGUCUGUGAAGGUCCAGUCAUCACUGGCGCACGUGUAUCUUACCUGUGAUCAACACCGGCAGCCACAGACUCCUGCCCAAGGAACGAACACAGUGAUCGUGAUGACAUUGACAACAACGAGCAAGUCCUCCUAGACCUAGAGUGACCUCAAGCUGGGCCAAACAUGAUGUGGAAGAAGAAAUCAGUUGUCUCCAUCAGUCGGGUUUGUGCCAUGGCAGCUUUCUCCAGCUGUCCGGCAGAGGUCCAGUCCAUGCCAUGGAGAAAUUCAGCCCCCAACAAUGAGAUGGCAUGCCAGUGAUGGAUCCGCAGCUUCU